GGUGAUCCUGGGAAACAGGGGGAUCCUGGGAGAGAUGGUUUGUCAGGACUAAGAGGUGAACAAGGCCCCCCAGGCCCUAGUGGGCCACCAGGCACACCUGGAACAUCAGGAAAACCAGGUGAAGAUGGUAAACCUGGGACUCCUGGCAAAAUGGGCGAGGAGGGGUUGCCAGGUGAAGAUGGGAGAAAGGGUGACAAAGGAGAGGCAGGAGCAUCUGGAAGAGAUGUCAGUUUUGUCAGAAUUCCUUCAUAUCAUUAUUCUCCUUGUUAGUUUGCUUCUACGCCGAGUCCUGUCUGUCUGAAUCUGCCCUAACUCACCUCACCUUCCUCUAUUGAUCCCGUCCUUCCAUGCCUUUAUUGUGUUACAUAAUAAGCUUUCCUUCUUUCUUUCUCCUCAUCACUUACCCCCUCAAGUGUGUGUUCAUCAGUUGCAGCUUGCUUUGACAUUGACAUUACGAUCACAAUCUCACUCACAGCUGAAUCAAUAGGCUUCUCAGAACCAGCUGUAUAAAUUCACCACCUCUAAUGAUUAAGCUUAGCCUUUAAGGGAGAGCCUCUUCUGAAAGGAAUCCAGAGGAGCUCCAAAUGUCAGAGUGCUGUUUUCAUGUGCAAAUUCAUUUUAAUUAUCUCUAGAACAUCAGUGGAGGGCUGGCAGUGGCCACCUGCUUUGAUUUUAUAGUUCAGUCUCUUCUAUAGCGCAGGAGGAAGUAACCUUGUAUAGAGAGGGAGCCUGAGUUGUUUAAUUGCAUAUGUUUGCAGGGCCAUGAUGGACAGAAAGGAGAACGAGGUCCUUCUGGGCCAGUAGGCCCCUCUGGACCUCAAGGACCACCUGGAGUACCUGGCAGCAUUGGUCCUCCUGGACAGGUGCAUGUGAUGCAGAAACAUUUAAAAAAAUUUAAAUGACGGUUUGUCACUUAUAAUCCCUGCAGUGAUUACUAAUCUGUUUCUGUCAGGUUGUGUAUGUAAAAGGAGUUGAAGCAGCACCAAUCCCAGGCCCACAGGGCCCCCCAGGAACCCCUGUGAGUGUGCAUGACUUUGUAACAUCCUGACAUUGUUGUUAAUUAGACUCUUUAAAUGCAUAUCAGUUUAAUACACACAUCACUGCUUUCCC
rnacentral:lncRNA from 1 species